rnacentral:rRNA from 1 species
CACGGGUGAGUAACACGUAUCCAACCUGCCGUCUACUCUUGGACAGCCUUCUGAAAGGAAGAUUAAUACAAGAUGGCAUCAUGAGUCCACAUGUUCACAUGAUUAAAGGUAUUCCGGUAGACGAUGGGGAUGCGUUCCAUUAGAUAGUAGGCGGGGUAACGGCCCACCUAGUCUUCGAUGGAUAGGGGUUCUGAGAGGAAGGUCCCCCACAUUGGAACUGAGACACGGUCCAA